rnacentral:misc_RNA from 1 species
GAUGAAGAACGUAGCGAAAUGCGAUAAGUAGUGUGAAUUGCAGAAUUCAGUGAAUCAUCGAAUCUUUGAACGCACAUUGCGCCCUUUGGUAUUCCAAAGGGCAUGCCUGUUCGAGCGUCAUUUGUACCCUCAAGCUUUGCUUGGUGUUGGGCGUCUUGUCUCUAGCUUUGCUGGAGACUCGCCUUAAAGUAAUUGGCAGCCGGCCUACUGGUUUCGGAGCGCAGCACAAGUCGCACUCUCUAUCAGCAGAGGUCUAGCAUCCACUAAGCCUUUUUUUCAACUUUUGACCUCGGAUCAGGUAGGGAUACCCGCUGAACUUAAGCAUAUCAAUAAGCGGAGGA